GGGAUAUAUGAUUAGGUCUAACAAUGUGAGACAUUAAUAUCUAUAGCUUUCCAAUGAAAUGACUUUCGGCCUUCUCUCUAGAAUUGAUGCAUAUAUCCGAAAUGGCCUAAUGAAAAGGUGGUCUCCAUGUUGCCGUACUCAUAGGGGAACCCUCACUCCACUCAAAUUUUGCCUGUGCCGUGGGGUUCCCUUGUGAAAACUACGACAGGUUAUCCUUUACAAGGUCUUUGUGGUGGGUCACGAAUACCUACUUUGCCAAAUCAAACUAAUGCUACAUUUUGCACAGAUUUAACUCCUUCAAGGCUUCAAUGCCAUUUUAAAGACCCAUUCAGCCAAUAAAAAAUAAAUAAUAUAAAGAAAUUGUUCAAAUACAUAAAAUUUACUAUUAUGAGAGUUAUUGGCAUUGUGAAGUUCAC
rnacentral:misc_RNA from 1 species